rnacentral:RNase_P_RNA from 1 species
CGCAUUGAGACGAUCGCUUGUUGGAGUAUCAGUCAACAAGAGGAAAGUCCGGGCAGCAUAGGAUACGACAGUCGCUAACGGCGACCGGGGGUAACCCUAGGGAAAGUGCCACAGAAACGAAACUACUCUACUGGUUAGAGCAAAGGUGAAACGAGUGGGGUAAGAGCCCACAGUCUGCCUUGGUGACAAGGUGGGGAGGUAAACCCUGUCGGCUGCAAGGGGAACAGCUCAGAUAAGUGAUCCGCUUGAGAUGUUCGCGCAAUCCGCUUGAAUAGCGUAGCAAUACACUAUCUAGAUAGAUGAUCGUCCUCGACAGAACCCGGCUUAUCAAUGCAGCAA